UCCAGGCGCGAAUUUGUGAAAAGAUUAGCUGUUGACGGAAAAUAAUGUCCAGUAAACAUUGAUUUAAAUUAACCGUGUUAGUCAUGAUAAGCGUGUCAGUCUCUAGCAGAACUUAAACAUUCAUAAAAACCGGCAUACAGCAUUAUUCUGUCAUCACAGAUGGUGACCCUGAAAUCCUGCAUGACUCCAGACCAGAAACUCUGAAGUAAGCUCAAACAAGCCGUACAAAAGGACACGUGUAGUGUUAUCUGUGAGCUCCAUCCGUCGUCUCCGGUAAUAAAACAUCAGUCAAGAGGUAACAGAAGUUUUCUGUAUGAGACGGAUUAUCAGAAGAGGAAAGUCGAGGCAAGGACAAACGUCAGGUCUGAAGAAUCCCACAGCACCUAGACUAAACUGACCCCUCGCCCGUGUGUGACACUCACUCAGCAUGCCCAUGCCCAGCAUGAAGGCGUCCAUGGUGUAGGGAAGACUUCUCGCCCUGCCC